rnacentral:rRNA from 1 species
GGCUCAGAACGAACGCUGGCGGCGUGCUAACACAUGCAAGUCGAGCGAGAAAGGGGGGGCAACCCCCUGAGUAGAGCGGCGCACGGGUGAGUAACGCGUGGGUAACCUACCCCCAGGCGGGGGAUAACUACUCGAAAGGGUGGCUAAUACCGCAUGAGACCACGGGAUCUUCGGAUCCUGAGGCUAAAGAUCGCACCGGCUUGCCGGUGCUGUCACCAGGGGAUGGGCCCGCGUCCGAUUAGCUAGUUGGUGAGGUAAUGGCUCACCAAGGCUCCGAUCGGUAGCUGGUCUGAGAGGAUGAUCAGCCACACUGGAACUGAAACACGGUCCAGACUCCUACGGGAGGCAGCAGUGAGGAAUAUUGCGCAAUGGGGGAAACCCUGACGCAGCAACGCCGCGUGGGUGAAGAAGGCCUUCGGGUCGUAAAGCCCUUUCGGACGGGACGAACGCUCCGCGGUGACAAGCCGCGGAGUCUGACGGUACCGUAGGAAGAAGCACCGGCUAACUCCGUGCCAGCAGCCACGGUAAUACGGAGGGUGCGAGCGUUGUUCGGAAUUACUGGGCGUAAAGCGCGUGUAGGCGGCCUUGCAAGUCAGGCGUGAAAGCCCUCGGCUUAACCGGGGAAGUGCGUCUGAAACUGCUUGGCUUGAGUACGGGAGAGGGAGGCGGAAUUCCCAGUGUAGAGGUGAAAUUCGUAGAUAUUGGGAGGAACACCGGUGGCGAAAGCGGCCUCCUGGACCGAUACUGACGCUGAGACGCGAAAGCGUGGGGAGCAAACAGGAUUAGAUACCCUGGUAGUCCACGCGGUAAACGAUGGGCACUAGGUGUGGGGGGUAUCCACUCCUCCCGUGCCGAAGCUAACGCAUUAAGUGCCCCGCCUGGGGAGUACGGCCGCAAGGUUAAAACUCAAAG